ensembl:lncRNA
GGUUAGCAAUGGUCAGUGUGAACUGAUUUUCAUCCACUAGGCAGAUCUCCUCAAUCUCUGAAGCAUAGUAGAUGUCGUUGAGGAAGACAGACUGACCCAAGACUCGUGUUCGUUCGGCUGAGGUCACCUGCACUGCUGUACUGCCCACCUGGAGAAAAGACAGAAUCAAACAUAUUGAGACCAAUCAAAAAAAGAGAAACCGAGCUGUAAGAAGAGGUAUUCAUCUUUCUUCACACACCUUAAUGGACACUUUGGUGUCUUUGUGCGCCAGUUUUAGGGCAUUAUGAAAGACCUUCAGGUCUUCUUCCAGUGCAAGAGUAGCUGCCGGAAGCUUCUGUUGCUCUGGUUCCACAUACUCAGCCAACCGUGCAGGCGAGUCAAUGAACAGUAACUUCUUACUGCCCUUGAGGCCCGUCAGCAGUCUCUCAUGGUAUUUGGUGUAUUCUCGUACCCAUGUGUUACAGUUAUAGAUGUAGAUGGCAGCCACAUUCUCGUAAGCAAAUCCUGGAAAGACAACAAACCAUUUGGAGAGGAAGUCGGUCUUGAAGCGGCUGCUCGGACCAGCAUGCGUCAAGUCCACUACUAGCUCGUAGGGCUUGGCAUAGUACGGUUUGAGGGUGAGAAGGACGUGGUAUAUGAGUAAGUCCCCAUUAAUCUGUCCUGUCUUGAAUCUGUGAGGGAGAGGAAAACAGACAAAAUGGAAACAAUGGCCUGCAAACCCACGAAUGCUGUUAUGACUGAUAACUAGAAAAACUUUGACGUAUGCUUGAAAAAGCCAUCCAUUCAAAUUUUCAAUGGUCAUAAAAGCUUAAAGGUUAUAAAAACAGACUAAAUGUCAAUACAGGCUGAAGUCAUGGGUGAAUCGCCCAUGACAUGCACUGGAUUAUGCUUUACAAAAAAUGUGCUGUCUAAUGAGGCCAGAAUACACAAUGACCCACAAUGACUUUAGCCACACAGUGGUUAAUGUGCAUGUCUAAUAUAAGAACCCAAACAGAAGUGAAACAACAGACAGGAAACUCAUCACUGGUUAAUGAGAAUGUUUGCACCUGCAGCUUCAGCUUUAAAAUUACCACUUCUCAAAAAAGGCUCAAAUUUACAGUGUGCAUACACUCACGCAGAGCCAUUCCAGCCUCUUCAGAUAACAGAACCUCAGAACAAACUAGUAACAGACCGAAAAGAACCAUGAUAAGUCGCAGAACAGUUUAUUUUGUAUGCUUUGCAUUGCUCUUCGGAACGACAGCUGCUGAAGCCAUAGAUGAGAACAACACAACAACAGACACAACAGAAGUCAAAACAACAGAAGACCCACCAUUCACAGGAAAAGAAUUCACACCAGUCACAAAAACAGAAGACACAACUACUAUAACAGGCAAAAAUGGCACCAUAUCAACAUCCAACAUUAAUAGGCAGACAACCAAACUAAACCCUGCAGCGACAACAAAUAAACAACCAGUAUGCACUCAGGCCACUCAUAAACCCAAGGAAGGACACUGUAUUUUCUCUCUACCAACUGAUAACGUUACCCUGCUACUGAUUGUGGUUGGUCUAACAGUGGGCUGCUUGGCAUUGUUGCUGACCACACUGAUAUGCGCCUGCCAGGUUUGUCACCUGAGACGAAUUAUCUCUAGUCUCCAGCUUCGUUACGACAACAUUGCCAUAAGUGAGAAGAGUGAAUUGCCAUGCAGGGAUGAAGGCCAAGCGGACGGGCAGCUAACUGAGACCUGCCUUAUGCUAUCAGAGGUCACCGCAGCACAAGAGGAGAGUAGAGAGGAUGAGGGGAACAAUACUGAGUCCUGCACUGAGCCGCCUGUGAAGGACUCAAAAGUAGAUGUCACCCAAGAGAACAGUCUUGAGCCUGAUGCAAAAGCACCAGAGAGCUCCGACACAGGGGUGUGAUCACGAUCAGGCACUUAACAAAUGGGUGUCCCACAACUCCCCCUGGUGGCAUUUAAAGUCUGCACCUGCUUAAGCUUAAACUGUUAUCUAAUGCAUAAGACUCAGGAAGAAGGUCUGAAAUCUGAACGUAUAAAAUUAUAUAUAUAUAAAAAGCACUGAAAAUACCGCAAAUAAGCCUUUGUCACUCUCAACAUUGUUUUUCUUCAUUUAGUCUUUAACAAUAUUGUAUGGCCAUGUUUCAAAUGUGUGCAUUUAUGUUGUCUGUAUUUUAAAUAAUAUAUCUGUAUUUUGUUCACAAUGCAAAAAAAAAUCCUUAAACAACCUUAAAUGAGAUAUAUGUAGUUGAAAAACAAAAACAUGCAUAAGACUAUUUUUUUGGGAGUAUAUCUAUUUAUUGGUUUUAUUUUUAUGCUUAAAACAACUAUUUACCAAUAUGGUAAGAAUUAUUUUUUAAUGAAUUAUAAUUCUUUUCUCUGAAAACAAUCAGAUCCAAUUUUACAAGUAAGCUUAUCUUGUUUUAAGGAUGUUCAAACUGUUUUUAGUAAAAAAAAUUAUAAAAAAAAAAAAGAUUAGAAAAUGACUGUGUGUAGUUUUGUGUUUUUGAGAAAUAAAACAAUUCAAACCUUGAAACUAUACA